rnacentral:ncRNA from 1 species
UGUGGCCGGAACCCUGUGCCAGUCGAUCAUCGUAUGCUGGUGCAGUGCUCUCCCUGCCGCG